ensembl:lncRNA
AUUUUAAUUCUCACACCCACUUCAGGGGUCCUAAAGCAUCUUUGGUGUCUAUGUGCCAUCCAACUCUCAUUUGUAGCUCCAAGAAGCUCUAGCCUAUGCAGUGACCAUUCCUGAGUAAAACAAUCCCAGCAAAAAUGAUAAACCAUGUGGAGUGUAAUGAAUAGGCUCUAGAUCUGGUGCUGAAAAGGGGGGAUGUCCACCUCAAACAUAUGAAGCGUGCCCCUAGCAGAACACAGAUGAGAACAAUUUGUUCCAACAGCCAUGAAAGCAGAUGAAGCAGGCACCAGAGAUGCCAAGAUCAUGACUGCAUCCCAAGCCAUCACCAGUCAUCUCGACUUCUGUCUUACCACAGGGCUUCAACGAUUCUGGGAGAGAGAGGAAGGCUAACAACUUUGUGCAACUCUGCCUUAAAACCGAUUCCUGUUCAAGUCAAGACAUCACCCUGUGACGUCACUAGUCCUUUUCAAAAAGAAGGACAAACUACCAAACAGCCUCAGUAAUGGUUAUAAUGGGUUUUUGCCUAGAGUGGGUUUGUAGUGAUGAAACUAUUACAUGUAAAGAUCUACUCCAGGAGACACAACAAUAAGCACAGCCUUGUCCUUCGGCCAAGUGGGUUGGAACCUGAAGGGUAUUCGGAGACACCAGCCUAUGGAGAAAUUGAGGCAUACAGAGGAAAAAAUGAUCAUCUACUGGUGAAAGUAGAGUCAGAGUUAGAAAGCUACAUCCUAAGAAUCAGAAACUCCAGAUGAAAAAACUGAGGCAAAUAGUUUGUGACCUACCCUACCUAGGGUCAUAUGGCUAUUAAGUGUCUCAGGACAGAUCUCAACUCAGGAAGAGAAGUCUUAUGACCUUAGUCCCAGUGCUCUAUUCACUAUGCCA